UGGCGAUGUUAUCGUUUACAGGAUCGGUUUACUUUUAGCUGAACUCAACAAAGAGACGAGCAGUCGACCCUAAGGUGAUGCUACGCCGGAGGAUCCGGCUCAGGUCUGGCAGAGUUGGCGCAAAAAGACGAAACAGACUACCAGCCGACUUAUAGAGACCGUUGCGCCAGAGGAUCUGGCUCGGGCCGAGCGGGGUUAGCGCGAAG